rnacentral:tRNA from 1 species
GCAACUGUUGUAUAGUGGUUAUUAUAUCUGGCUUCCACCCAGAGGACCGGCGUUCGAUUCGCCGCGGUUGCA